rnacentral:pre_miRNA from 1 species
UGAAGCUGCCAGCAUGAUCUUAACCUCUCUCUUAUCAUGCAGAGUGAAGAUCAGAUCAUAUGGCAGUUUCACC